rnacentral:tRNA from 2 species
GGGUAUUCAGCUCAGUGGCAGAGCACAUGGCGUCAUACAUGAUGCAGAGGUUCGAUUCCUCUGGUACCCA